AUGCAAUCCCAACCGUUUUCCUCAACAAUGGCCCAGUUCAGAGGGAUAAUUCUACUUCUUCUUCAGCUACUUCCUUAUCUGAAUUAUCGCCAUCACCUAAUGAAAAUGCAGAAAAAGUUUUUGUCAUUUAAGAAUGGCAACUCGCUGAGGAGUUCCGUAGCCCAUAUUAUGAAUGCCUUGUUGAGGGAUGAGCUGGCGCUGGAAUAUUCGUGGGUGGGGCACGGGGCGAAGAAGAAUUUCUCCUCCCACUUUUCUCAAAUAGUUACCUUGUUGCAUGAUGUUAUCCGACUUAAAGAGCCGGCUGCAACGGAUAAGUCCAUAGAUACAAUUGCAGGAAUUUGGCUAACUAAAGCAAAAGAACGGAUUGAGUAAGUCAUUAUUGAUACUUGCAUCAUAUCCUUUUAAAUUCUAAUAUUUCCGAAAAAUUGAAAGAGUGCUUUCCAUAUCAUAAUCAUCAGCACAAGAACCUAUGAAAUCAUUUUAUUUCCUGUGAGGAUUUUUUGAAAGUCUUAAUCAUCAAAUCCAAAGGGUUCUGGUUCACUCAAUUGAGUUAAUUAACUUAGAAUUUUUUAAGUAACAGCUUAAAAUAUAAGUAGUAUAUUAUGUUCAAGGCUUUUGAUUGUUUCAGAG
rnacentral:lncRNA from 1 species